AAAGUCGUAACAAGGUUUCCGUAGGUGAACCUGCGGAAGGAUCAUUAACACUCAGGAGCAGUGGCAUGGUGCAGAAGGAUCCACUGAGUAAGGAUAACGCUUCACGGUUGCCAGAGGUCGAUCACAAUCAAGCCGCGGAAACGCCGGCACAAAAACCGAACAACUGUUAACAAUGGAUAUCUUGGUUCUC
rnacentral:misc_RNA from 1 species